AGGAAAAGAAAAAAAGACUCGUGCAUUUUCGCACUUUAUUCCUCCACCUGCCCAACCCAGGAGAAGAAUUAAAAAAAGAGAAAACUUACCCCCCUCGAUCUCCCUUUUUCUGGGGAUGAGAAGAACCCCCUCGAUAUCCCUUUCAAGCCAUCAAUAUUCCCUUGAACUUGAUCGUUACAAGUAAUUCUUCAAUAGUUUUAUAUUUCUUUUUUUUUUCCUCUGAAAUUUUCGUUUUUCUGAGUUGAUUUUGCCCUUUUUUUAGGAUUGGGUUUGACAUGUUAGGGAUUGGUCUUUAUUGCUUCAAUUAUUUUUAAAUUUUGAACUUAUUAAUUCUAUGAUGAUUAGGGAUCGUGAAAGCUUGAAUCUUUUGGUUUCUCUUAAAUUCAGUUAAUACGUCGAAGAGGAGAAGAGUGAAAAAAAGUAUUUUCGAUUAGAUUGGUUAUGUAUAUUAAUAAUGAAGCUGUGACCCAAAUUGAAAGUUUUGGUGUUCUAAAUUUUGUUUAAAUUUGAUCUUUGGGAACUGUUUGAGCAACUUUGGGGGAAAGUUUUAGAAAAAAAUAUUUUUUAGCUUGCAAAGAGAAACUGUUUAUUCAUAGUUGUAGUGUUUUGAAGAUUUGUAAGUUUUGUGAUAGACAAGGAACACUUGUCUGAGUAACACCUGCAAAUUACUUCUGAAAUAAAGAAUUGCCGGAACUUGAAAAAAUGUGAACAAACAUUGAUCCAAAUUCCAAAGUGAUAUCCCUUGUUUAUUGUUACUACAAAAAACACUUUUACCGGCAAUUAUAUAGUGGCCAUAACGGUAUUGCCGCUAAAUCAUUUGAUAAUUGCAAGCAUUACCGGCCAUUAAUCAUCAGUAGCUUGAAUAAAAUGGACCUGAAUAGAAGUGUUAAUGGAUAUAGAGGACUCAUACAACCGAUUCUAACUUACUUGAGAUUGAGGGUUCGCAUUUCUCCGUCUUUUUGUUUUGCUUGAUAUUUUAUUUUACUCGACAGGAAGGUAGUGUAGGAGGUUGUAGCUCAAGUUGACAAGCUCAGACCUAGAAGGCAAAGGUAGUUCCAACGAGGGGAAUCGAAGUUGUGACCUUUCAGUUAACAUGCCAGUUGCACUACCAAUUAUGCCGGGGUUGCCCCCUCUUCCUCUACAUUUUUGCUACUCUAGUUUUAGUUUAAAUUUUUUCUGGGGGGUGGGAAGUGAGGUGAUUGGUGAUUCACUCUUUUGCACUGCUCUGUUUCUAAUUUGUACUAAUAUACAUUGGGUUUUUGACAUCGGCUAAUGAUAUCUCUAGGGGAGCUUUGUUGGAAGAGAUUGAGACAUUGGUCCAUAGACACCCAAGCAAGCUCUCUGUAGAUUCUCCCCUAUCCACUAUAUUUUCUAACUUUUUUCUUGGAAAACUAAAAUGCAUCACCUCUAAACAUCACAUCUUCAUUCUUGUUUAUGCAGAUCGAGACAUUUACUAGUCAAAACAGAGGGUAUCGUGCAUAGACGACUGUAGUUACUUAUUGCCAGAAUAGUAAAGACUACGUUGACAAGUCAAAGCUCAGAAUCCUUAUUAGUUUUGGGCAGCACGGGAGGGAGCUCAUAACUACAUAGCUUGCAUUGCGGAUUCUUUCCAUUUUAAGUGAAGAGGAAUUCUUAUCCAGUACAUACCCACUUAAUUUGAAUAACACGCUUGAUAAGCUUGUCAUAAAGAUUGAUGGGUGUAAGAGGAAUCUAGGUGAAACUUGGUAAAGAAAUACAUGGUCAGAUUCUGAAGAAAGAUAUAUCAUAUGCACAUUUUGUUUCUUAAGAACUUGUGAAGAUGUAUGGAAAUUGUGGUGCACUUAAGCCACGUCUCCUCAUUCUCCUCAUAGUACUGAUCACCAAGUUGAUGCUUAUUUAGUUAUUUCCAAGGUAUUUAUAACUGUCUCCCUUUUUAGUUGCCAAUGAUUUACAACCUAUUUGAAUCCUUUUUCAGCCUACAAGGAAGCUGCACUAGGAAAUAUACCAACUGCUGCUUAUUAUGAAACUGACAUCAAACCUUGAGAUAUUAUCUUUUUCAUUUCUCCCCAUUGUUUGCCCUCAAAUCUUAAGAGGCUUCUGCAUCUUCCUGGUUUCCUCCUAAACCGAACUAACAUCACUGAUCAUGAAUUAUGUCUGAAGAACUCGUCUUGGGAGUAAGUGCUGAGCAAGUAUAAGCAAUUGAAAUGUUAAAAGAACAAGUUGAAGAAUUAGAGAAAGCUACUGUUGUAUUAGUAUUUGUUUAGAAAUGUUCCCAUUUGUACAUGCCACAAUUCUAUCUCUUUAUUAGGCAUUUAUUGGAAGAUUGUUAUGCUUCUAUAUUUGUAAUUGACCAUAAAAUUUUAUGAUUAUUAAUUGUUUUAUAUA